rnacentral:rRNA from 1 species
AACGAACGCUGGCGGCAUGCCUAACACAUGCAAGUCGAACGAGACCUUCGGGUCUAGUGGCGCACGGGUGCGUAACGCGUGGGAACCUGCCCUUAGGUUCGGAAUAACUCCCCGAAAGGGGUUCUAAUACCGGAUAAUGUCUUCGGACCAAAGAUUUAUCGCCUUUGGAUGGGCCCGCGUUGGAUUAGCUAGUUGGUAGGGUAAAAGCCUACCAAGGCGACGAUCCAUAGCUGGUCUGAGAGGAUGAUCAGCCACACUGGGACUGAGACACGGCCCAGACUCCUAAGGGAGGCAGCAGUGGGGAAUAUUGGACAAUGGGCGAAAGCCUGAUCCAGCAAUGCCGCGUGAGUGAUGAAGGCCUUAGGGUUGUAAAGCUCUUUUACACGGGAUGAUAAUGACAGUACCGGGAGAAUAAGCUCCGGAUAACUCCGUG